AUCUACAACGGUGGUAGCAGGAUCGCUCAACUGUCUGUGUGGGUGAGGAAAGAGUUAAGGAGUGAUUUAAUAUCAUCUUCUGACAAUGCCCUCAAAACCCCUGCACGUGGUAUUAAGUGGUCUUUGUCAGACGGAGCGCGGCGCAGCAGGAAAUAUUUCAGCUGCAGCCGAGGAGCCUCUGGAGAGUUCAACCCUCGAGCCUUCCAGCUGUUGUUGCAGCCGCAGCAAACUGUCGGAGAGACACCAUAUACAGUACACUGUAGAGCUGGUGGAGGCCAUCACGGUGGUCUGGGGAAAGGUCCUCUGGGAUACAAGGGGACUUCCGGAGUUUCGGGCAGGCCAGAUAAGACAACCGGGAGAGCCGCAUCAGAUAAGGCACUAUUCACUCUGGAUGCAUUAAUGUUCCAAUCGGUAGCCAAAAGUCUCAAGGGAGGACGUAAUCUAGAAGAUCUUGGAAAGACCAGAGUUUCUGGGUGAAAAAGGAUCAAAAACACACAACUGUUGAAGAUCUGAACAGUGGAUCGUCUCUAAACAGAGUAUGUGACCGUAACAAUGAAAUGCCAGGGAGAAGCUGGACGUAUAUAUGUGAAGGCAAAUGGUACGCAAGUUAAUUUCCAUGUAAACCCUGAGGCCUCUGUGAAGUUGAGGAAGUAAAAUCUGGUCACACGAAAGAGGACCCUCCUGGGCACCUUUCCGUUGGAGGUUUCCCAAGCCU